CAAGCGGAUCGGGAUAGCCAUGAAGCUCCCGGCCCUUACCCUGAACACGAAGUAGUCCUUGAUCUUGGCCUGCAGAGUGGGAUCCUUCACACUGAACGGUGUCAGAGUCUCAGUCCGACAAGCUGGGGGAACCGCGCUCUCCGAGCCCCUAACUGCGCCCGCCGCAGGCUGCGAGGGUGGCAGCUCGGUACCUGCGGAACAUCCGGCCGUGAAACUCGAUCCCGCAAUGCCAUCGGUGGGGAGCACCGCCACCUCCGGCUCCACCGAAUCGUCCAUUUGCAGCAUGGCAACAGGUUCGUGCUAAUUGAGGCCAGAUCUGAAUUUACAUGAUGCUGAUAGAUAUAUAACAGAAGUGAUCAGCAGUUGGAACCUAUGACAGUUUUACUGUCUCAGCUAGAGGUCCUGAGGCUAACUGAUAUUCGUAAUACUGCUCCAGAUGAGAUCAGGUUAGAACAUAUCGUGAGAAAACCGACUUUUAAAGAUAACAUGGUGUACAGCUGGAUGAACACAGCAGGCCAAACAGCAUCAGAGGAGCAGGAAAGCUGAUGUUUCGGGUCCAAAACCUCGUUCUCAGAUUCUCCGGCAUCAGCAGUUCCUCUGAAUCAACUUUUAAAGCUACAUCUUUUGAAACUUAAAGUUCAAUGUCUGAAGUCUGAUUGAUACUGGAUGUAAAGUUCUUAUAUGUUUGAUGCAUCGAAUGUAUACACUAACAAAAAGUUGACAAAUGCUGAUAAUAUCUUACCCAUUAUUUCUUCAUCCUGGGUUGUAGAGUUGGAGCAUGUUCACAUGCAAGUUGUGCCAAUAUUUCCUAAUAUUGCAUUCACUUAGCCAAUUGAGCCCAGCCUAGUUCCAAUUCCAAGUCACGUUUGUAAUUGGAUUUCACUGUUUUCAACA